UUUCCGUAGGUGAACCUGCGGAAGGAUCAUUUCCGAAAACAACUCUUACAAACCAAUCUUGUGGAAUGUUUUGGGUUUUUUUACUCUAGAAGGUGGGGCUUAGUUGCAUUAAUAGUGACAACAGUUGUGCCAGUGGGUACGUUGUGCUGUUGCCCGCCUAUUACGCAAUGCUUGACGCUCCACUCUUCUAGAGGCCAUGAUGAACUACCUUCGGGUUGAUAGUGUCGUUUUUCUAUACUUGUUGUCUCGCGACAGCAAAACAAAAAAACAAUGAUACGACAACUUUUAACGGUGGAUCUCUUGGCUCGU
rnacentral:misc_RNA from 1 species